UAAUGAUCUCAAGAUCUGGAUCUAGAUG
rnacentral:piRNA from 1 species